rnacentral:rRNA from 1 species
ACGGGAGGCAGCAGUGGGGAGUAUUGGACAAUGGGGGAAACCCUGAUCCAGCAACGCCGCGUGAGUGAAGAAGUGGUUCGCCAUGUAAAGCUCUAUCAAUAGGGAAUAUAAUGAAGGUACCUAACUAAGAAGCCCCGGCUAACUACGUGCCAGCAGCCGCGGUAAUACGUAGGGGGCAAGCGUUAUCCGGAUUUACUGGGUGUAAAGGGAGCGCAGGCGGUUUUUUAAGUCUGAUGUGAAAGCCCGCGGCUCAACUGCGGGACUGCAUUGGAAACUGGAGAACUAGAGUGUCGGAGGGGCAAGUGGAAUUCCUAGUGUAGCGGUGAAAUGCGUAGAUAUUAGGAGGAACACCAGUGGCGAAGGCGGCUUGCUGGACGAUAACUGACGCUGAGGCUCGAAAGCGUGGGGAGCAAACAGGAUUAGAUACCCUGGUA